rnacentral:lncRNA from 1 species
CUAGACAUCCCUUCUGGGUUGACUGGUUCAGACCUUCUCCAGAGACCUAGACAUCCCCUCUGGGUUGACUGGUUCAGACCUUCCCCAGAGACCUAGACAUCCCUUCUGGGUUGACUGGUUCAGACCUUCUCCAGAGACCUAGACAUCCCCUCUGGGUUGACUGGUUCAGACCUUCCCCAGAGACCAAGACAUCCCUUCUGGGUUGACUGGUUCAGACCUUCUCCAGAGACCUAGACAUCCCCUCUGGGUUGACUGGUUCAGACCUUCCCCAGAGACCAAGACAUCCCUUCUGGAGAUGUGGGUUCCUGAAAAUUGGAAGUAGAUAGCAUUAUGGAACAGUAGCAUGCUAGGAGUGAACUGGGAAGGGGUUGUCUGGCUCAGUUCUUCCCUUAUAGACCCAGAUAUCCCCUCUGGGUUGCCUGGCUCAGGUCUUCCCUUAUAGACCCAGAUAUCCCCUCUGGGGUCAGUGUGUAGGAGUUGGUACAAGGUGCCCUGAACCACUCGUCUAGGGUUAGACUUCAUUUAAAUGGAUUAUAUUCGUAAUGAGAAGAAGAAAACUGAUUAUAUUCUAUAGAGAGUGACGACCAGGCCAUUUUGGACACCUUCCUUGACACUCUACCUAUCCUAUCUUCUUUCCUUGACACUCUACCUAUCCUAUCUUCUUUCCUUGACACUCUACCUAUCCUAUUUUCAUUCCUUUACACUUUACCUAUCCUAUCUUCUUUCCUUUACACUUUACCUAUCCUAUCUUCUUUCCUUUACACUCUACCUAUCCUAUUUCCAUUCCUUGACACUCUACCUAUCCUAUUUUCUUUCAGAGACUUUCAAAUUGAUUAUUUGUACUGUUAGAACAUUAGACAAAGCUCAUUACCUUGAUGUCUUUCAGUUUGUUAGUGUGUUGUUGUAUUCUAACAGAACUAAUAUAAUGUGAUUAAUGUAACUACAGUUUCCUUUGAUUCUCUCCUCUUAAAUGUAAUUUAUAUUCGACAACAAGGGGCCUAUUGAAACCAUCGACGGCACUAGAUCAGGGAUGGGCAACUGUUAUUUUAUAAUCUAGUUUUUUGUGAACUCCUUUGGGGUCUCGACUUCCUGUUGAGAGUCCGAAUAGUAGGAUACACAAUUGGCUAUUUAGUAAUGUGGUUGUUGCAUCACCAGUGUAUGUCUUAUGUCACUGACAGUCAGUCAAUUAGCCCAAGUCAGCUAACAUUUUGUAGAUUGUUUAAUGAGUUUAACGGCUAGUUAUCUAAACUUUUUAUCAUGGUCGUAUUACGGCCGGGCGGCCCACAUUGAUUUAGUUAGUCAGUCUCACUCAGAUAUCGUAUGAAAAACUGCAAACAUUUCUCUCCACCCUUUGGCAAAAUCUGUAGAAUUGCAGCAUUUUCUCUACACCCCAUGGCAAAUUGUGUAGAAUUGCACCAAAUUAACGCUGGAUGGAUGUGGGUUUGCAUAACUGUGAGCUGCAGUACCUCAUGAUGAGUUCAGACUUUAUGUGGCCCCCACCCUCAUCAAAGUUGCCCAUCCCUGAUCUAGAGGGAUAUUCAUUGUGGAUUACAUUUGUCAUUUAGCAGAUACUCUUAUCCAGAGCAACUUACAGUAGUGAGUGCAUACAUUUUCAUACUGGUCCCCCGUGGGAAUCAAACCUACAACCCUGGCGUUGCAAGCACCAUGCUCGACCAACUGAGCCACACGGGACCAACUGAGCUGCAAGGGAUUACUCACUAACUACUAAUUAAUGUGUACUGUGACUGAGAACGAACAAUAGGCCUGAUGACUCACAGUGGCUGUGUUCCAAUAUCACAGCACUAGAACACUACAUAGAAUGAGCCAAGUCAUGUAUUGGGCACGAUGCUUCUAUCAACCAAGUCAUGUAUUGGGCACGAUGCUUCUAUCAACCAAGUCAUGUAUUGGGCACGAUGCUUCUAUCAACCAAGUCAUGUAUUGGGCACGAUGUUUCUAUGAACCAAGUCAUGUUUUGGGCACGAUGUUUCUAUGAACCAAGUCAUGUAUUGGGCACGAUGCUUCUAUGAACCAAGUCAUGUAUUGGGCACGAUGUUUCUAUGAACCAAGUCAUGUAUUGGGCACGAUGCUUCUAUGAACCAAGUCAUGUUUUGGGCACGAUGCAUCUUUGAACUAAGUCUUGUAUUGGGCACGAUGCUUCUAUGAACCUGUCAUGUAUUGGGCACGAUGCUUCUAUGAACCAGUCAUGUAUUGGGCACGAUGCUUCUUUGAACCAAGUCAUGUAUUGGGCACGAUACUUCUAUGAACCAGUCAUGUAUUGGGCACGAUGCUUCUAUCAACCAAGUCAUGUAUUGGGCAAGAUGCUUCUAUCAACCAAGUCAUGUAUUGGGCACGAUGCUUCUAUGAACCAAGUCAUGUAUUGGGCACGAUGCUUCUUUGAACCAAGUCAUGUAUUGGGCACGAUGCUUCUAUGAACCAGUCAUGUAUUGGGCACGAUGCUUCUAUGAACCAGUCAUGUAUUGGGCACGAUGCUUCUUUGAACCAAGUCAUGUAUUGGGCACGAUGCUUCUAUGAACCAGUCAUGUAUUGGGCACGAUGCUUCUAUCAACCAAGUCAUGUAUUGGGCACGAUGCUUCUAUCAACCAAGUCAUGUAUUGGGCACGAUGCUUCUAUCAACCAAGUCAUGUAUUGGGCACGAUGCUUCUUUGAACCAAGUCAUGUAUUGGGCACGAUGCUUCUAUGAACCAGUCAUGUAUUGGGCACGAUGCUUCUAUCAACCAAGUCAUGUAUUGGGCACGAUGCUUCUAUCAACCAAGUCAUGUAUUGGGCACGAUGCUUCUAUGAACCAAGUCAUGUAUUGGGCACGAUGCUUCUAUAUACCAAGUCAUGUAUUGGGCACGAAACAGAGGAGGUGAGCUGCUUCUCCCUGGACCUGUCUAAACAGAGGAGGUGAGCUGCUUCUCCCUGGACCUGUCUAAACAGAGGAGGUGAGCUGCUUCUCCCUGGGCCUGUCUAAA